UACGUAGGCAGCGAGCGUUUGUUCGGAAUUAUUGGGCGUAAAGAGCUCGUAGGCGGUUUGUUGCGUCGGCUGUGAAAUCCCGAGGCUCAACCUCGGGUCUGCAGUCGAUACGAGCAAACUAGAGUGUUGCAGGGGAGACUGGAAUUCCUGGUGUAGCGGUGAAAUGCGCAGAUAUCAGGAGGAACACCGGUGGCGAAGGCGGGUCUCUGGGCAACAACUGACGCUGAGGAGCGAAAGCGUGGGGGAGCGAACAGG
rnacentral:rRNA from 1 species